CUUAGCUCAGUUGGUUAGAGCAUCUGACUCAUAAUCAGGGGGUCCUAGGUUCGAGCCCUAG
rnacentral:tRNA from 1 species